GAUGAACGCUGGCGGCGUGCCUAAUACAUGCAAGUCGAGCGAACAGACGAGGAGCUUGCUCCUCUGACGUUAGCGGCGGACGGGUGAGUAACACGUGGAUAACCUACCUAUAAGACUGGGAUAACUUCGGGAAACCGGAGCUAAUACCGGAUAAUAUAUUGAACCGCAUGGUUCAAUAGUGAAAGACGGUUUUGCUGUCACUUAUAGAUGGAUCCGCGCCGCAUUAGCUAGUUGGUAAGGUAACGGCUUACCAAGGCAACGAUGCGUAGCCGAACUGAGAGGGUGAGCGGCCACACGGGAACUGAGAGACGGUCCAGACUCCUACGGGAGGCAGCAGUAGGGAAUCUGCCGCAAUGGGCGAAAGCCUGACGGAGCAACGCCGCGUGAGUGAUGAAGGUCUUCGGAUCGUAAAGCUCUGUUAUUAGGGAAGAACAAAUGUGUAAGUAACUAUGCACGUCUUGACGGUACCUAAUCAGAAAGCCACGGCUAACUACGUG
rnacentral:rRNA from 1 species